GGAGGAGUCUCUGAGGGUAGUGGGCGGGGCUGGUCAGGCGCCGAGGCGGGGUUUCCAGAGCUUCUGUGGAAGGACGGGCCAAUGGCGCGGAGCGAGGCGCGCGGAGGCGGAGCGUCGGGGCUCGGCGGGGCGCUGAAGUUGCGCGAGGGAGCGCGCUCUUGAGAUGCAGAUGCUGUUUCACGAGCCCUUUGGAAAUUGACCCUGCAAUCAUCAGGGCUGCUGAGGAUGAAACAGAACACUUUUAAGAUGUUUUUAUAUCCCAAGCAAUUGUGGAAGACCAUUUGGACAUAAUGACCAGACUGUAGGUUGAGAGCUGCACUCCAAACAUUGGCAGGGCUGGAUCCUAUUCUGGGGAGGGGUUUCAAGACUUUUAAGUGUUGAGCACUUAAUAAGCCUAUUUUGUCUAUUAAAACUCACUAAGAUCUCAAC